rnacentral:rRNA from 1 species
GACGAACGCUGGCGGCGUGCUUAACACAUGCAAGUCGAACGGUAAGGCCCCUUGGGGGACACGAGUGGCGAACGGGUGAGUGACACGCGGGUGAUCGUCCCUCCACCUGGGGAUAAGGCUGGGGAACUGGGGCUAAUACCGGAUUGGACUCCUGGGUGCAAGGCUGGGGGGGGAAAGCAUGUGCGUUGUGGGAUGGGCCCGGGGCCUAUCAGGUUGGUGGUGGGGUGAUGGCAUACCAAGGCGACGCCGGGUAGCCGGGCUGGGAGGGUGACCGGGCACACUGGGACUGAGAUACGGCCCAGACUCCUACGGGAGGGAGCAGAGGGGAAUAUUGUACACUGGGCGGAAGCCUGAUGCAGCGACGCCGCGUGGCGGGUGACGGCCAUCGGGUUGUAUUCCUCUUUCAGCUAUUACGAAGCGAAAGUGACGGUAGUAGCAGAAGAAGGACCGGCCAACUACGUGUCAGCCGCCGCGGUAA